rnacentral:rRNA from 1 species
GACGAACGCUGGCGGCGUGCUUAACACAUGCAAGUCGAACGGAAAGGCCCUGCUUUUGUGGGGUGCUCGAGUGGCGAACGGGUGAGUAACACGUGAGUAACCUGCCCUUGACUUUGGGACAACUUCAGGAAACUGGGGCUAAUACCGGAUAGGAGCUCCUGCUGCAUGGUGGGGGUUGGAAAGUUUCGGCGGUUGGGGAUGGACUCGCGGCUUAUCAGCUUGUUGGUGGGGUAGUGGCUUACCAAGGCUUUGACGGGUAGCCGGCCUGAGAGGGUGACCGGCCACAUUGGGACUGAGAUACGGCCCAGACUCCUACGGGAGGCAGCAGUGGGGAAUAUUGCACAAUGGGCGGAAGCCUGAUGCAGCAACGCCGCGUGCGGGAUGACGGCCUUCGGGUUGUAAACCGCUUUUGCCUGUGACGAAGCGUGAGUGACGGUAAUGGGUAAAGAAGCACCGGCUAACUACGUGCCAGCAGCCGCGGUGAUACGUAGGGUGCGAGCGUUGUCCGGAUUUAUUGGGCGUAAAGGGCUCGUAGGUGGUUGAUCGCGUCGGAAGUGUAAUCUUGGGGCUUAACCCUGAGCGUGCUUUCGAUACGGGUUGACUUGAGGAAGGUAGGGGAGAAUGGAAUUCCUGGUGGAGCGGUGGAAUGCGCAGAUAUCAGGAGGAACACCAGUGGCGAAGGCGGUUCUCUGGGCCUUUCCUGACGCUGAGGAGCGAAAGCGUGGGGAGCGAACAGGCUUAGAUACCCUGGUAGUCCACGCUGUAAACGGUGGGUACUAGGUGUGGGGUCCAUUCCACGGGUUCCGUGCCGUAGCUAACGCUUUAAGUACCCCGCCUGGGGAGUACGGCCGCAAGGCUAAAACUCAAAGGAAUUGACGGGGCCCCGCACAAGCGGCGGAGCAUGCGGAUUAAUUCGAUGCAACGCGUAGAACCUUACCUGGGUUUGACAUGGAUCGGGAGCGCUCAGAGAUGGGUGUGCCUCUUUUGGGGUCGGUUCACAGGUGGUGCAUGGCUGUCGUCAGCUCGUGUCGUGAGAUGUUGGGUUAAGUCCCGCAACGAGCGCAACCCUUGUUCACUGUUGCCAGCACGUUAUGGUGGGGACUCAGUGGAGACCGCCGGGGUCAACUCGGAGGAAGGUGGGGAUGACGUCAAGUCAUCAUGCCCCUUAUGUCCAGGGCUUCACGCAUGCUACAAUGGCUGGUACAGAGAGUGGCGAGCCUGUGAGGGUGAGCGAAUCUCGGAAAGCCGGUCUCAGUUCGGAUUGGGGUCUGCAACUCGACCUCAUGAAGUCGGAGUCGCUAGUAAUCGCAGAUCAGCAACGCUGCGGUGAAUACGUUCCCGGG